UCCCUGGUGGCCUAAUGGUUAAGGAUCUGGCAUUGCCACUGCUGUGGCACAGGUUUGAUCCCUGCCCCAGGAA
rnacentral:tRNA from 1 species